UCAAUGGACCCUUUUCAUUUUCUUAUUGUUUUGGUCCUCACUAAACCGUCACUCCCUCUCACACCCUCUCACCACUCUUUCUCUCUCUCCUCAUCAUGCUCGGCUUCCUCCUCUCCGUUCACAAGCACGGUUGAGCAGCCGACCACCACUCCUUCAUCUCCUCCCUCCCGCCGCCUAUAAUAUUGUUGAUGUAUUUGUUGGGUGUUGUUGUUGUUAAUGAAAGAGUUCUUACCCUCUCUUAUUCUUCCUUCAUCUCUCUCUCGAUCUUCUCUUUUGCUGCCGCCGCCACAACUAGUAGUGGCCUCCGACCCACCGUCACUCACUCCAUCGUGAAAAUGGUAAUUAAUUUUAACUCCUUCAAUUCCUUAAUUGAUUGAUUAAUUUGAUUUAAGACCAUAAACCCUAACUCACAUAUUUUCUCUCUCUUCUUGUUGUUUGGGUGCGCCGGCCUCUCUAUCCCGGCGGCCGCUGUUGUGGUGGCUGGGGUUGUUGGUUGGUGUUGCUGCUCUUGCUCAUGGUAUCAUCUAUACUCUACCUCACUCCUCUGCCCUCCCCUGCCUCUUAUUCUCUCAUCCCUGCUCGCCGGAGCUCCACGGUGGCUACCGAGGUAAGUGAAUGCAGAACGACUAAGGUGAAUCGAAGUAUGGGAUUAUACGGAGAGUCGUGAUCAAGUGAGUAGCUUUGGAGUUUUUUUUUAUGUUGUGAUUGAAGGUACACAUUGUCCAACCAUCUUCGAUGUUUGAAAUUGUAUUGUGUGUUUCAAGUAAUAUGUAUAUGUAUAUAUGUAUUGAUUUUAAAUUGUGCAUUAAAAAGUUAAAUUAUUCUUUGGUAAUUGAAUUUGCGCUUUGCAAAUAAAUUUGAUUUUUUAUUUUGUAUAAAUGAAAUGAUUUAUUGAUUGAUUUCUUGAUCGGUAAAAUGAAACGGUUUUGGAAUUGUAAAUGCUUGUGAGUUGUGAGUGAGAUAAGACUGUGCGCUUUGGGGAUAGAACCCGUCGAGAAUACUCCAAGUUGAGUUGUAAAUAAAACAAUGACAUGGUUAAUUAUGAAGUAUGUAAAUGAAUAUAAAAUAUUAAGAAGUGUCAUGAACAAAAGUUAAUCUCGAAUUAGGUAAAUUGAUGGUUAAGUGAUAUGUGCGUUUUAUAUAGUGUUUCACCCCCGUCCCUUAGUACUUUUUAUGUGUCAAACGUGCUCUUAGGAGCCGUUUCUAGUACUAAUGUGUGUUAUUGAGUGUGCCUUGAGUUUCAGGUUUGAUUAUGAGAAAUUGGUCUUUUUAGACCCGUUUCAUGUUGAUCCAGGCCACUAUAUGAGCCCGAGGAAGUUCGGGACCUCCAUCGUCGACUUUCGGGAGCCUUGUAUGCUUAUGGUUGAGCCCCGAGAGUCAGACUCAGUGAUAUGGGCGAGUUAUAUUGAAGAUUGCAAAUCGCUCUAGAAGCUGAGGGCGAAAUGCAACCAUCGGGCGGAAUUGAAGCAAAUUGGACUCAUCAACGCGCGCCCGAUCGGGCGCAGCUCGCCUGAUCCGGAUCGGGCGGUCAUCCGGAAGCUUAUGUGGAGAGUUCGCAAACCGCCCGAUCGGGCGGAUUUUGGCCCGAUCGGGCCGACUAUCGAGUGCAUAGCCCGAUCGGGCGAAGCGACGCCCGAUCGGGCGACGCCAACCUCCUGCACUUAUGCGCGAGUUUUCUUUCCGGUUUAUGGCUUGUAUUUUGGGCAAACUAUAAAUACUAGCACCUUAUAUUUUUAGAGACACAUUAUUUUUCUAGUAUCAAACACUUAGUUUAUUUUCCUAAGCUUAGUUUUCUCUCUAAUUUGUCCCAAACACUUAGUUUUAUUUCCAAUUAAAAGUUCAAACUUUAUUAUUC